UGGAGGUGGUAGAAAAUGAGGACAGUGACCAUUUCUCUCUUGCUGGGGAAAGUGAGAUGCUUCCAUCCAAUCUGAAAGCAAGUCCCAAGAUGCCUGGAGGAGGCCAGGUGUUUGGAGGUUAUAGUUCAGACAGUGCUCCCAUUUUCAUCAGCUUGUCUUUCAGCGGGUCCAGUGUUAAUUGUCAUCAACACACCAUAACAGAAAUAUUUACUAUAGCAGAAGACUGUAUGAAUUUUGUAAAAAUGUCUUUUUAUAAAAUCUUAUGCCUUGCUUUACUCUGAGACUUUUGUCUGAUAUGCACAGCAAUAGUUAUGUCAUAGGAAAGACAAUGAAUGUGUAAGGAAAAAAUAAAUAAGUAAAAGGAGACA
rnacentral:lncRNA from 1 species